rnacentral:rRNA from 1 species
UACGAAGGGGGCUAGCGUUGUUCGGAUUUACUGGGCGUAAAGCGCACGUAGGCGGAUCGUUAAGUCGGGGGUGAAAUCCUGGAGCUCAACUCCAGAACUGCCUUCGAUACUGGCGAUCUCGAGUCCGGAAGAGGUGAGUGGAACUCCUAGUGUAGAGGUGGAAUUCGUAGAUAUUAGGAAGAACACCCGUGGCUAAGGCGGCUCUCUAGUACGGUACUGACGCUGAGACGCGAAAGCGUGGGGAGCGAACAGG